GGCAUUUGAAGUCUUUGAUCUCCUUUAUGUCAUUGAUAUCUCCUUUAUGUCAUUGAUGUCUCCUUUAUGUCAUUGAUGUCAAAAUUGAUCUUUCAUGUCAGAUCAAUGAAAUCAAAGGAUCAAACCGAACUGGCAGAUCAAACACAUCAGCUCUACCUCAUCAGCACACGCCUGAGGAGCUCAACACUCUUGUACCACACUGGUGACCAGCAGACGCAUCAAUGACUCAGAGAGGAACCCAGCAACUGAAGCAAGAAUCAUCCAUGGAGACUUGGAGGGAAGAGGUCCAGCAUCUCAGAGAAGCCCUGGCUGAGAAGGAGGAGCAGCUCAGCAGGGCAGUGAAGAGGCGACAAAUGAGAACUGUGGCCCAUGUGGAGGCCCUGACCCUGCUGAACAGCACACAAGCUGCUCUGAAGGAGAGCGAGCUGAAAUGUGCUUCUCUGGAGGAAACCCUCCACAGCCAGCAGCAGGAGAACGAGGAGACACACAGGAGAGAGCUGAUGGAGCAGGAGGAAGGCCUGAAUCAGAAGCUCCUGGUGAUUGAGGAGGAAUUUGAGAGGAAGCUGAAGGAAGAAAGGCAAAGAUCUCAUGAAGAGAAAGAGGCCAUGAGGCAGCAGCUCUUUCUGGAAGAAAAAAAGUUCCAGAAACUUCUUGAUGAAGAGACACAAAAAUAUCAUGAGAAGAUCCUGCAAAAAGAAGAGUUGAUGAAGCAGCAGCUGGUGGUUAAAGAAGAGAACUUUAACAGGAUGCUGGCUGAUGUUCAUCAGCGGUGGGAGAGGACCGCUCAGACAUGGGUCCAGAUGAACGAAGAGCUGGAGCACAAGAUCCAGGAGAGCCAACGUUUCAGGCAACAUGAGGAGGCAAAGACCAAAGAGGAGCUCCAGAGGCUCUCUGAAGCGAUCCUCCAACUUGAGCUUCAAGUAUCAAAGAAGCAGAAGAAAAGAAGCUUCUGUGGAUGGAUCUGGAAAAAGAUGAAGUUCUGGAAAAAAUGAAUUAAACAACAAUUCCAGAGCUCCUCCUCUUCCUCCUUCUCUACAUCCUGACCUCCAGCGUCACAUCCUGUCCUCAACAGUUUUAUUUUACAGUAUAAUUAUUGUUAUUUUCAUUUGGAUUUUUGAUGUAGAAACAAUAAAACUCAAAGUAAACCAC
rnacentral:lncRNA from 1 species